UACGAAGGGGGCUAGCGUUGUUCGGAAUCACUGGGCGUAAAGGGCGCGUAGGCGGCCGCUCAAGUCGGGGGUGAAAGCCUGUGGCUUAACCACAGAAUUGCCUUCGAUACUGUUUGGCUUGAGACCGAGAGAGGUGAGUGGAACUGCGAGUGUAGAGGUGAAAUUCGUAGAUAUUCGCAAGAACACCAGUGGCGAAGGCGGCUCACUGGCUCGGUACUGACGCUGAGGUGCGAAAGCGUGGGGAGCAAACAGG
rnacentral:rRNA from 1 species